GACGAACGCUGGCGGCGCGCCUAACACAUGCAAGUCGAACGAGCGAGAGAGAGCUUGCUUUCUCGAGCGAGUGGCGAACGGGUGAGUAACGCGUGAGGAACCUGCCUCAAAGAGGGGGACAACAGUUGGAAACGACUGCUAAUACCGCAUAAGCCCACGACCUGGCAUCGGGUUGAGGGAAAAGGAGCAAUCCGCUUUGAGAUGGCCUCGCGCCCGAUUAGCUAGUUGGUGGGGUAAAAAGCCUACCAAGGCGACGAUCAGUAGCCGACCUGAGAGGGUGAUCGGCCACAUUGGAACUGAGACACGGUCCAA
rnacentral:rRNA from 1 species